UCCCUGGUGGCUCAGGUGGUAAAGCGUCUGCCUACAAUGCAGGAGACCCAGGUUCAAUCCCUGUGUCAGGAA
rnacentral:tRNA from 1 species